rnacentral:rRNA from 1 species
GACGAACGCUGGCGGCGUGCUUAACACAUGCUAGUCGAACGGAAAGGCCUGCUUUCCCUUGUGGAUUGCGGUUACUCGAGUGGCGAACGGGUGAGUAACACGUGAGUGAUCUGCCCCCAACUUGGGUAUAAGCCUGGGAAACUGGGUCUAAUUCCCGAUAGGACUGCAGGGUGGUGCCUGUGGUGGAAAACGAUUUUCUAGUGGUUGGGGAUGAGCUCGCGGCCUAUCAGCUUGUGGGUGGGGUAAUGGCCUACCAAGGCGGCGACGGGUAGCCGGUCUGAGACGCUGGACGGACAGAUGGGGCCUGGGAUAUGUACCAGACUCCUACGCGAGGCAGCAGUGGGGAAUAAUGCACAAGGGGAGGACGCCUGCGGCAGCGAAUCCUCGUGGCGGAGGACGGCUGUCGGGUUGUAAUCGCCUUCCGACUGCGAGGCAGCCACGCGGUUGGAAGCGUUGUGACGGUAGUGGUCGGAGAAGGCCCGGCUAACUACGUG